rnacentral:rRNA from 1 species
AUACGGAGGAUGCGAGCGUUAUCCGGAUUCAUUGGGUUUAAAGGGUGCGCAGGCGGCCGUGCAAGUCAGCGGUGAAAGCCCGGGGCUCAACCCCGGAAGUGCCGUUGAUACUGCGUGGCUGGAAUGCGGUCGAGGCGGGCGGGAAGUGGCGUGUAGCGGGGAAAUGCGUAGAUAUGCCACAGAGCGCCGAUAGCGGAGGCAGCUCGCCAGGCCUGCAUUGACGCUGAGGCACGAAAGUGUGGAGAUCAAACAGGAUUAGAUACCCUGGUAGUCCACACUGUAAACGAUGAUAACUCGCUGUCGGCGAUAUACAGUCGGUGGCCAAGCGAAAGCAAUAAGUUAUCCACCUGGGGAGUUCGACCGCAAGGUUGAAACUCAAAGGAAUUGACGGGG